rnacentral:rRNA from 1 species
GAGUUUGAUCAUGGCUCAGAACGAACGCUGGCGGCGUGCUUAACACAUGCAAGUCGCGUGCGCAGUUGCCGUAGCAAUACGGUGAUGGGCGCACGGCGCACGGGUGCGUAACACGUGGGCAAUCUGCCCUUUGAUGGGGAAUAACCCGCCGAAAGGCGGGCUAAUUCCGCAUAAGAUUCCCGAGACUUCGGUCUUGGGAUUGAAAGCAGCAAUGCGUCGAAGGAGGAGCCCGCGCCCGAUUAGCUAGUUGGUGAGGUAACGGCUCACCAAGGCUAUGAUCGGUAGCUGGUCUGAGAGGAUGAUCAGCCACACUGGAACUGAGACACGGUCCAGACUCCUACGGGAGGCAGCAGUGGGGAAUCUUGCACAAUGGGCGAAAGCCUGAUGCAGCGACGCCGCGUGGGGGAUGAAGCAUUUCGGUGUGUAAACCCCUUUCGACUGGGACGAAUGCCUCGCAAGAGGAGUGACGGUACCAGUAGAAGAAGCCCCGGCUAACUACGUACCAGCAGCCGCGGUAAUACG